rnacentral:rRNA from 1 species
CCACAUCACAUUGAAACACCAGUACCUGUAUGAUCACUGAAGUUAAGCAAUGUCAAGCCUGGUCAGUACCUAGAUGAGUGACCGCUUGAGAAUACCAGGUGCUGUAAG